rnacentral:ncRNA from 1 species
GAGCUAAGUAUCCUAAGGAGUACUCUAUGGAGCUUAAGCCGGAAUUUAUAUAAUUCAAGGGUGAUAUUUGAAAAGAUAUCAUCUCCACGUUUUGGGAAGGAAAAUAAGUUGAU